CAGGCCUAACCAUGCAAGUCGAGCGGCAGCACAGAGGAACUUGUUCCUUGGGUGGCGAGCGGCGGACGGGUGAGUAAUGCCUAGGAAAUUGCCCUGAUGUGGGGGAUAACCAUUGGAAACGAUGGCUAAUACCGCAUGAUGCCUACGGGCCAAAGAGGGGGACCUUCGGGCCUCUCGCGUCAGGAUAUGCCUAGGUGGGAUUAGCUAGUUGGUGAGGUAAUGGCUCACCAAGGCGACGAUCCCUAGCUGGUCUGAGAGGAUGAUCAGCCACACUGGAACUGAGACACGGUCCAGACUCCUACGGGAGGCAGCAGUGGGGAAUAUUGCACAAUGGGCGCAAGCCUGAUGCAGCCAUGCCGCGUGUAUGAAGAAGGCCUUCGGGUUGUAAAGUACUUUCAGUCGUGAGGAAGGUGGUGUUGU
rnacentral:rRNA from 1 species